ACGUAGGGAGCAAGCGUUGUCCGGAUUUAUUGGGCGUAAAGAGCUCGUAGGUGGUUCGGUAAGUCGGAUGUGAAAACUCAAGGCUCAACCUUGAGACGCCAUCCGAUACUGCUGUGACUUGAGUUCGGUAGAGGAGUGUGGAAUUCCUGGUGUAGCGGUGAAAUGCGCAGAUAUCAGGAGGAACACCGACAGCGAAGGCAGCACUCUGGGCCGAUACUGACACUGAGGAGCGAAAGCAUGGGGAGCAAACAGG
rnacentral:rRNA from 1 species